rnacentral:lncRNA from 1 species
CUUUCUACUUCUUGGACAAAGGAAGAGGUGCCAAGGACGAUGUAGCACAACCAAGAGCCUUUGUCACGCCAGUAAUUGUGGGCUUGACAUUAGAACACAUAGAGGUAAGAGGGCCCUUGUUUCCACCGUAGGUGAGAUCAAUGUCAGUCAACUCCACAUUCUCACACGGUAUGCCCGUGGUACAUACAAGCUUGACUGCAAGUGGAGUGAAAGAUGAGCCCUUAAUGUUCUUGAAGCUAACAUUGCUGAUCUUAACUUUUGACGGAGGCUUUUGUUCACACUGAGUAUAUGGGCAGUACAAUUGGUCUAUGAGGAUAGGGUUACUGACAUUAACCAUGAUAAUAUCCUCAUAGUGUAUACCCGAGGCAGUGCUAGGCGAAGGAGAAUCUGGAAAUGUUUUGAUUCUCACACCGUUCUCCGUAUUAGUCAGGGUGCAGUUCUUAACUAUGAUCCCGGUCACAUCCUUUUCUUCCUUAUAUUUCCCAAGGCUUCCAAUGCUU